rnacentral:rRNA from 1 species
UGGGGAAUAUUGGACAAUGGGCGCAAGCCUGAUCCAGCAAUGCCGCGUGAGUGAUGAAGGCCUUCGGGUUGUAAACCGCUUUUGUCAGGGAAGAAACGGUCUGAUCUAAUAAGUCGGACUAAUGACGGUACCUGAAGAAUAAGCACCGGCUAACUACGUGCCAGCAGCCGCGGUAAUACGUAGGGUGCAAGCGUUAAUCGGAAUUACUGGGCGUAAAGCGUGCGCAGGCGGCUAUGCAAGACAGAUGUGAAAUCCCCGGGCUUAACCUGGGAACUGCAUUUGUGACUGCAUGGCUAGAGUGCGGCAGAGGGGGAUGGAAUUCCGCGUGUAGCAGUGAAAUGCGUAGAUAUGCGGAGGAACACCGAUGGCGAAGGCAAUCCCCUGGGCCUGCACUGACGCUCAUGCACGAAAGCGUGGGGAGCAAA